CUGGUCUUGACAUCCACGGAAGUUUUCAGAGAUGAGAAUGUGCCUUCGGGAACCGUGAGACAGGUGCUGCAUGGCUGUCGUCAGCUCGUGUUGUGAAAUGUUGGGUUAAGUCCCGCAACGAGCGCAACCCUUAUCCUUUGUUGCCAGCGGUCCGGCCGGGAACUCAUAGGAGACUGCCAGUGAUAAACUGGAGGAAGGUGGGGAUGACGUCAAGUCGUCAUGGCCCUUACGACCAGGGCUACACACGUGUUACAAUGGCGCAUACAAAGAGAAGCGACCUCGCGAGAGCAAGCGGACCUCAUAAAGUGCGUCGUAGUCCGGAUUGGAGUCUGCAACUCGACUCCAUGAAGUCGGAAUCGCUAGUAAUCGUGGAUCAGAAUGCCACGGUGAAUACGUUCCC
rnacentral:rRNA from 1 species